ensembl:misc_RNA 7SK 7SK RNA
GGAUGUGAGGGGGAUGUGGCUGUGACAUUUGCCACCCCAUCGAUCGCCAGGGUUGAUUUGGCUGAUCCGGUUGGCUGGGCAGCUGUCCCCCUCACCACUCCAUGUCCGUCCCUUCUGAAGCUGCAUGCUUAGUGGAAAAGGAUGACCAUCCUCGAUAGAAGGGAACUGGUCUUCAGUCAAGGGUCUAAGAGUAGCUGUGCUCCCCUGCUACAACCUCCAAACGAGCUCUCAUUCUUGAUUUUAUUAUUUUAAGUCUUCUUUCUUAUUUUUCUUGGUCAGUCUAGCUAAAGUUUGUCAAUUUUGUUGAUCUUUUUCAAC